UACGUAGGGUGCAAGCGUUGUCCGGUAUUAUUGGGCGUAAAGAGCUCGUAGGCGGUUCGUCGCGUCGGCUGUGAAAACCUGAGGCUCAACCUCAGGCCUGCAGUCGAUACGGGCGGACUUGAGUACUGCAGGGGAGACUGGAAUUCCUGGUGUAGCGGUGAAAUGCGCAGAUAUCAGGAGGAACACCGGUGGCGAAGGCGGGUCUCUGGGCAGUAACUGACGCUGAGGAGCGAAAGCGUGGGGAGCGAACAGG
rnacentral:rRNA from 1 species